UCGUGUCGUGAGAUGUUGGGUUAAGUCCCGCAACGAGCGCAACCCUCGCCUUUAGUUGCCAUCACGUCUGGGUGGGCACUCUAAAGGAACUGCCGGUGACAAGCCGGAGGAAGGUGGGGAUGACGUCAAGUCCUCAUGGCCCUUAUGUCCUGGGCUACACACGUGCUACAAUGGCGGUGACAGUGGGAAGCCAGGUGGUGACACCGAGCCGAUCUCAAAAAGCCGUCUCAGUUCGGAUUGCACUCUGCAACUCGAGUGCAUGAAGGUGGAAUCGCUAGUAAUCGCGGAUCAGCAUGCCGCGGUGAAUACGUUUCCCGGGAA
rnacentral:rRNA from 1 species